rnacentral:misc_RNA from 1 species
GUAGGGGAACCUGCGGAAGGAUCAUCACUGACCCCCAUAGCUUUGCACCCGUGCAACGUGAGUGGGCGCGCGUCAGCGCGCGUAGGUGGGUGAUUUGGGGGGCAGCGCGACAGCGCUGUUACGACGCGGCAGCGUCGUGGGGUGUUUGUCGCGUUGCGUCUUUUACCCACUGCCACUCGAACCACACACAUCGCAUCUGACAAAACACACACUAGUAACACACAACUUUCAACAAUGGAUCUCUUGGCUC